UAGGGAAUCUUCCGCAAUGGGCGAAAGCCUGACGGAGCAACGCCGCGUGAGUGAUGAAGGUCUUCGGAUCGUAAAACUCUGUUAUUAGGGAAGAACAAAUGUGUAAGUAACUAUGCACGUCUUGACGGUACCUAAUCAGAAAGCCACGGCUAUCUACGUGCCAGCAGCCGCGGUAAUACGUAGGUGGCAAGCGUUAUCCGGAAUUAUUGGGCGUAAAGCGCGCGUAGGCGGUUUUUUAAGUCUGAUGUGAAAGCCCACGGCUCAACCGUGGAGGGUCAUUGGAAACUGGAAAACUUGAGUGCAGAAGAGGAAAGUGGAAUUCCAUGUGUAGCGGUGAAAUGCGCAGAGAUAUGGAGGAACACCAGUGGCGAAGGCGACUUUCUGGUCUGUAACUGACGCUGAUGUGCGAAAGCGUGGGGAUCAAACAGG
rnacentral:rRNA from 1 species